rnacentral:lncRNA from 1 species
UGAAGAAGGGUUAUGUAUGUCUGCCUUGCAAUGGAGGGUGAAGGUCGACAUUUAUAUGAAUUAAUAACCGGUAUUAUUCUUUCACUCUUGUCGGCAACCGUUGGAUGAUUGAACAGUAAUCUUCACGUGCUUUCUACAUCACCAGAAAUCUUUGACAGAUUGCCCGUAAUUUUCCGCAAGGCUGAGUGUGCAUGUGACAGAUGCUGACAUAUUUGGAAAAGCAAA